AAAUUGAAGAGUUUGAUCAUGGCUCAGAUUGAACGCUGGCGGCAGGCCUAACACAUGCAAGUCGAACGGUAACAGGAAGAAGCUUGCUUCUUUGCUGACGAGUGGCGGACGGGUGAGUAAUGUCUGGGAAACUGCCUGAUGGAGGGGGAUAACUACUGGAAACGGUAGCUAAUACCGCAUAACGUCGCAAGACCAAAGAGGGGGGACCUUCGGGCCUCUUGCCA
rnacentral:rRNA from 1 species